UACAGGGGGGGCAAGCGUUGUUCGGAAUUACUGGGCGUAAAGGGCUCGUAGGCGGCCAACUAAGUCACACGUGAAAUCCCCGGGCUCAACCUGGGAACUGCAUCCGAAACUGCCUUGCUAGAGUAUGGGAGAGGGAAGUGGAAUUUCCGGUGUAGCGGUGAAAUGCGUAGAUAUCGGAAGGAACAUCAGUGGCGAAGGCGACUUCCUGGACCAAUACUGACGCUCAGGUGCGAAAGCGUGGGGAGCAAACAGG
rnacentral:rRNA from 1 species